rnacentral:lncRNA from 1 species
AGCCCUACCGGAGAUACGGUUUUAAAACACUUUCCUUUAUUCUGGAGGUUACCUGAUGUCACUGUCUUCUUUGUAGACAUUAAUUUUGAUGAAGCCUAAUACAUCUUUAUUUCCAACGACCUGAUUUGUUUUAGAGAAGCUUCUGGCUCACUGGAAAAUCAAGGGAAACAUGUGGAGAAGUCUCGUAUUUCCCAUCUGCAUAUGUGCACAGCCUCUUCUGCUGUCACCAUACCAGAACUGCGCAGUUGCUGUAAUCAGUAAACAUACAUCAACGUAUCCUUAUCACACAGAGUAAAUACUUGAGUCUUGCUGUUGUUCUCCUCAGGAUUUUGGGCAAAUUUGUGUUAAGGUAUACCCACUGUUAGUGGAUACAUACAGAACCUUCUCAUUGCCCCACAAAGACAUUGCCUUAUCUCUGCCUCUCACUUCUUCACUCGCUCUCUGGGAGCCUUUCAGCCAUUUACAUCUGCAUUCACCACUGCCAGAAUGUGCAAAAAACCCAAGCUCCCCGCGCUAUAUGAACGCAUAAAUAAACUUUCAACAGGUGGGGAAUGACAUAUCAGUGCCAAAAAAGUGCCUGUCAACUUGGUGAGACAUGGACGAUGCAGCCAUGCUUCUUGGUGGAGAUGGUGGUAUGACUUACUGCGUGAGCCUCUGCGAAAGCAACAUUGCAGACGUCAUGGUGGUUGUUGUUGUGGAUGAUAGUUGUUGUGGAUUGAAUGUCAGAUUUAGAAACCAUUGCCAGAUCCAGAGUCAUGAAAAAUGUAUUCUUUAUACUUUUGGCUCAGAAUUUUGUCUGAGUUUUGACAUUGAGGCACUUGAUCUGUUUUGAUGGACUCCGUAGCAGUGGUUCAAGGUAAUUACCUGCAAUCAUGUCUUGGCUUCUGAAUAUCUGUCUUCCCCAACACAUUGAUUAAAAAGGCUGUUGAUGUAGCAUGGAUGCCCUACUACACCUUCAACAAUAAAACAUGAGAUGAUGCUAAAAGAAUCCCAAAGUAUUCUUUUUUUUUUUUUUAAAUCUGAUUAGCUUGAUAUUUUUUUGAAAAAUCUGUUGACUGUCAACACUUGAUAUUGUUUGUUUCUGGUCCACUGAUGUAUAUGUUAAUGCUAGCACCACGUAGUCUUAUUUGUCCAUUCUUCUCUGUAAGUUAUUUUCUUUUUGUUUGUUUUAAAGAGAGGGUCUUAUAUCCCAUCCUGGCUGAAGCCACAUCAUGAGCUCAUCGCCUUUUCCCUAGCCGUCAAUGCUGGGCCACUACACUUAUCGCUUAGAAUGUUGGAAACCAGGCUUUCCUUAGUUCUUAUUUUUGAAGAUACUUUUGGCUUUUCUGUAUCCUCUGUGACUUUGUAUGAUUUGAGGAUCAGCUUCUCUCUAUCUCUCCCUCUCUCGCUCUCCCCAUGAAUUUCCAUCUUUCCCUUCCGAGAAGCUGGUCCCACAGGCAGUGCCCUGUGAUAGUAGGUGUGUUUGUAGAUUUGUAAAUCCUGUGGGAAGUUUUCUUUCCCACUCCUUUAGUAAAGAGACUGGAUUUAUCAAGAAAGAUUUGAAUCUUACCAAAUGCCCUUAUUGUAUCUCUUGCUAUGAAAAGGUGUCAAAUGACUACUUUUCAGACGUUAAGCCAACCUUACAUUGUUAGGAUAAGUCUCACUUGAUGGCAGCUUACAUUUAUUUUUGUAUGUUUCUGGAUUUAGUGUAUAGGUUAGUUUGUUUAUGAAUUUGAAAUAGUUUUUAUCCACAUUCAUAAGAGAAACGGUUUUCUGGUGAUGUCUUUGUUCUAUUUAUUAUGUUCUC